GACGAACGCUGCGGCGUGCUUAACACAUGCAAGUCGAACGGAAAGGCCCCUUUGGGGGUACUCGAGUGGCGAACGGGUGAGUAACACGUGAGUAACCUGCCCUUGACUUCGGGAUAACUUCAGGAAACUGGGGCUAAUACCGGAUAGGAAUCCUUGCUGCAUGGUGGGGGUUGGAAAGCUUCGGCGGUUUUGGAUGGACUCGCGGCUUAUCAGCUUGUUGGUGGGGUAGUGGCUUACCAAGGCUUUGACGGGUAGCCGGCCUGGGAGGGCGACCGGCCACAUUGGGACUGAGAUACGGCCCAGACGCCUACGGGAGGCAGCAGUGGGGAAUAUUGCACAAUGGGCGGAAGCCUGAUGCAGCAACGCCGCGUGCGGGAUGACGGCCUUCGGGUUGGAAACCGCUUUCAGCAGGGGCGAAGCUUGUGGUGACGGUACCUGCAGAAGAAGCACCGGCUAACUACGUG
rnacentral:rRNA from 1 species